ACCCUAGCAUCCUGUGAUUCAGCCGCGAAGACGUGGCCCCAAGCCUCCCACCGCCCUCCUUCUGUCCUGACUGCCCACUCCCAGGGACACCAGGUUCCCAGACCAGAGGACUGUUGUUAGGUGAUUGGCUGUGAACACCCUGAGGCCAGUGCCCCUCGCUGCUUGGCACUCGGAGAUGCCUGAUUAGCACCUUUAAUCCCUUACCAGUGAGGCAGGUGGAAUUGGCCCCAUUUUACAGAUGGGGAGACUGAGCCACCUGUCUGUCCAGCCACCCUUCCACAGACUGAGGCUUGACACCGGAGCAUCUGUACAGAGCAAGGAGAAGACAAGAACAUGCUCUAAAGCCCUUCACAGCAAGACCCAGGAAGCCGCGGGCAAACUCAGACUCGAAGCCCUCCCGCCUCCUGCCCACAAUGGCCUCUGCUGACAAGAAUGGCGGGAGCGUGUCCUCUGUGUCCAGCAGCCGCCUGCAGAGCCGGAAGCCACCCAACCUCUCCAUCACCAUCCCGCCACCCGAGAAAGAGACCCAGGCCCCUGGCGAGCAGGACAGCAUG
rnacentral:lncRNA from 1 species